rnacentral:rRNA from 1 species
UAGGGAAUCUUCGGCAAUGGACGGAAGUCUGACCGAGCAACGCCGCGUGAGUGAAGAAGGUUUUCGGAUCGUAAAGCUCUGUUGUAAGAGAAGAACGAGUGUGAGAGUGGAAAGUUCACACUGUGACGGUAUCUUACCAGAAAGGGACGGCUAACUACGUGCCAGCAGCCGCGGUAAUACGUAGGUCCCGAGCGUUGUCCGGAUUUAUUGGGCGUAAAGCGAGCGCAGGCGGUUAGAUAAGUCUGAAGUUAAAGGCUGUGGCUUAACCAUAGUACGCUUUGGAAACUGUUUAACUUGAGUGCAAGAGGGGAGAGUGGAAUUCCAUGUGUAGCGGUGAAAUGCGUAGAUAUAUGGAGGAACACCGGUGGCGAAAAGCGGCUCUCUGGCUUGUAACUGACGCUGAGGCUCGAAGGCGUGGGGAGCAAAACAGGAUUAGAUACCCUGGUAGUCCACGCCGUAAACGAUGAGUGCUAGGUGUUAGACCCUUUCCGGGGUUUAGUGCCGCAGCUAAACGCAUUAAGCACUCCGCCUGGGGAGUACGACCGCAAGGUUGAAACUCAAAGGAAUUGGCGGGGGUCAUAGCUGUUUCCUG